rnacentral:rRNA from 1 species
GUCUACAGCCAUGCUCCCCUGAACUAGCCCCAUCUCGUCUGAUUUCGGAAGCUAAGCAAGGUCAGGCCUGGUUAGUCCUUGGAUGGGAGACCACCUAGGAAGACCAGGUGCUGUAGGUG